GUAGAUUUGGACGCGGAUUCCGAGUAUGCAAGUUUUGCAAAACCGGUAGCGACGGCCUCAAAACCAGAAGUGGGCGUAUGUCCUUAACCAGGUACGCUAGAGACGCAAUCUUAAAGACUAACAUCAUCCCAAGGUACAUAGUUCGCAAGUCCAAUUUGGCAGAUUUUACCUGUCAAAAUAUACUUGGGAUAUCGUCACCAGACAACAGCUCCACUCACCAGAAAACGUUCCACGAGACAGAUGUAGAAGGAUAUUGCUCACCAGUGCCGCUGCAGUCCACGCUGUUAGCUGCCCGUCCCUGCCGAAGUGACGCCGUCUUUGUGUGUGCGAUGUCCUUUCGGUCUUGAGGGAGCAGGCUCGGGACAGGCUGACCAUUGAGAGUGCAGCCAAUCAGAGAGCUGACAUCAGCUGAAUUUGGGAGUCGGGUUUCUAUCCUUGCACCACGCCCUGCUUGCUGAUGCAAAAAUGUGUGCUAUACAUCUGUGGUCUGUGCCAGGGCUUUAAUGAUUCGUUGGCUGGAGCCAGGAGAAAUCACUAAAUUUAGU